rnacentral:tRNA from 1 species
CAUUAGAUGACUGAAAGCAAG